CUGCUGAGGCCGCUGGCAACAGCCCUGCCUAAACACCAGCUGCCAAGGUCUUGGAGGAGCUUCGGGGAUGUUUUCAAGUCUUACUAGAUUUAAAGGAUGAUCCUUGGCAAACUCCCCCCGAUGCUUCUCAGCAUUUCUAGAGCCAACAGUUGUUCCAUCUGCUGCUGAGGCUGACUUUGAAGAAUCCUUGCAAAGAGCAGCACACUAACUUUAACACCACACAAGAGAAGAAAAUGCCACAGCUUUUCAGAAGUGACCUAGAUGUUUGCCAGUAGCUUGACACACUCUCAGGGAUGGACAUACCUGAAGAGAAUCACACACACAGUAUGCUGUGGAGCAACCUGGAAGGAGGGGUGAAACAAAAUCUAUAAAGCCUUCACUCAUGCUUUUAAAACCUUCUGUCCUCCUGUUAUCAGAUUCAACAUCUCACCUCAAUGUGAUUUAUUUUGAGAAUUAAAACCAAACAUUCAAUAAAAUUUUAUAAAAGGUC